rnacentral:rRNA from 1 species
CAGCCGCCACGGUAAUACGGAGGGGGCUAGCGUUGUUCGGGAUUACUGGGCGUAAAGCGCACGUAGGCGGCUUGGUAAGUUAGAGGUGAAAGCCUGGAGCUCAACUCCAGAAUUGCCUUUAAGACUGCCGAGCUAGCAGGUGAGAGAGGUAAGUGGAAUUCCGAGUGUAGAGGUGAAAUUCGUAGAUAUUCGGAAGAACACCAGUGGCGAAGGCGGCUUACUGGCUCAUACUGGACGCUGAGGUGCGAAAGCGUGGGGAGCAAACAGGAUUAGAUACCCCCGUAGUCCCUGUCUCUUAUAC